CUGCACUAUAAAAAUUAUAAUUAAUGACAAUUGCAAUACCUGUACAAUUACAAUACCGUGUUUCUGCUGGGGUCUACACCCGCAGGGCCUUUUUUAACAUACAAGCUGGGUGGGGCAAAUGCCCUCCCCCCAGUCCCCACUUGUGCCCCCCAGUCCCCCCUAAUUGUGCCCCCCCCCCACAAAAUCACAUUUUGCCCUCCACCCCACCCCUAAGGAAAAGUCCCUUUCUCGUAGAAUUAUACAAACAAACCAGCGAAGAAUAACAAAUCGGAUAAACGGAAAGAAAGUUUUAGGCUUUAUCCUUUAUCGAUUUAAAUUGUUAUGUUUUUCUACCACUAAGUAAUGAUAAAUUAUUGUUAAUAAUUUUUUUAUUUUUUGGAUGCUCAGAAUGCAGGAAAUAGUACUUCCGGGUUUCAUAUUUCAAAACUUUUCUGGGGAUUAUGCCCCCACACACGUGGCCUUCGGCCAUUGGUAUCCCCUCUAAUAAGUAAUGAUAAAUUACGGUUAAUUACUUUUUGUGCGUUUUUUCCUUCCUUUAUUUCAAAUACAAGUAUAGUUAGCAUAAAUUUUGGAGCAAAUUUGGAUGCUCAGAAUGCAGGAAAUGGCAUUUCUGUGCUUCAAAUUUCAAAAAUUUUCUGGGGGAGUACCCCCCCCAUUCAUGCGUGGCAUGUUGGCCUUCAGCUAUUGCUAUCGCCCUGUAAUAUAUUAUCUCACAGAUAGGUCCCUUUUCAAAAAAUGACACCCCCCCCCCCGGAAAAUCCUUAAAAGAGGCCCAGACCUGUAGGAUAUUACAUGGCGGCGUGAACAUAUAUAUAUGACGUUUUAUCUUUGAGUGGUGAAAACAAUAUUUUACAAACGCACGCAGCAAGU